UCAUGUUAUAUUUUGUUUCCUUUUCACAAGUAGAGUGUUUAUAGCAGGAGGCACUGGGAUCACUCAAGGUGCACCGAUUUAAGCAAAAUCUAAAAAACUUGGGAACCUGCCGGCAUCUCGGACAAUUGCAGCUAGGUUAUUCGCGAGAUCGUGGAGACGUACACAUCUGUUGAGCCUGGAUGCUAAACCGAGUCUGACGCUAGUUCAUCAAAGUUUUAUCGCCUCUGAUCGUGCGCGAGUUUUCUAUGUGGC
rnacentral:lncRNA from 1 species